UUAAAUUGAAGAGUUUGAUCAUGGCUCAGAUUGAACGCUGGCGGCAGGCCUAACACAUGCAAGUCGAACGGUAACAGGAAGCAGCUUGCUGCUUUGCUGACGAGUGGCGGACGGGUGAGUAAUGUCUGGGAAACUGCCUGAUGGAGGGGGAUAACUACUGGAAACGGUGGCUAAUACCGCAUAACGUCGCAAGACCAAAGAGGGGGACCUUCGGGCCUCUUGCCAUCAGAUGUGCCCAGAUGGGAUUAGCUUGUUGGUGAGGUAACGGCUCACCAAGGCGACGAUCCCUAGCUGGUCUGAGAGGAUGACCAGCCACACUGGAACUGAGACACGGUCCAGACUCCUACGGGAGGCAGCAGUGGGGAAUAUUGCACAAUGGGCGCAAGCCUGAUGCAGCCAUGCCGCGUGUAUGAAGAAGGCCUUCGGGUUGUAAAGUACUUUCAGCGGGGAGGAAGGUGUUGUGGUUAAUAACCACAGCAAUUGACGUUACCCGCAGAAGAAGCACCGGCUAACUCCGUGCCAGCAGCCGCGGUAAUACGGAGGGUGCAAGCGUUAAUCGGAAUUACUGGGCGUAAAGCGCACGCAGGCGGUCUGUCAAGUCGGAUGUGAAAUCCCCGGGCUCAACCUGGGAACUGCAUUCGAAACUGGCAGGCUUGAGUCUUGUAGAGGGGGGUAGAAUUCCAGGUGUAGCGGUGAAAUGCGUAGAGAUCUGGAGGAAUACCGGUGGCGAAGGCGGCCCCCUGGACAAAGACUGACGCUCAGGUGCGAAAGCGUGGGGAGCAAACAGGAUUAGAUACCCUGGUAGUCCACGCCGUAAACGAUGUCUACUUGGAGGUUGUGCCCUUGAGGCGUGGCUUCCGGAGCUAACGCGUUAAGUAGACCGCCUGGGGAGUACGGCCGCAAGGUUAAAACUCAAAUGAAUUGACGGGGGCCCGCACAAGCGGUGGAGCAUGUGGUUUAAUUCGAUGCAACGCGAAGAACCUUACCUGGUCUUGACAUCCACGGAAGUUUUCAGAGAUGAGAAUGUGCCUUCGGGAACCGUGAGACAGGUGCUGCAUGGCUGUCGUCAGCUCGUGUUGUGAAAUGUUGGGUUAAGUCCCGCAACGAGCGCAACCCUUAUCCUUUGUUGCCAGCGAUUAGGUCGGGAACUCAAAGGAGACUGCCAGUGAUAAACUGGAGGAAGGUGGGGAUGACGUCAAGUCAUCAUGGCCCUUACGACCAGGGCUACACACGUGCUACAAUGGCGCAUACAAAGAGAAGCGACCUCGCGAGAGCAAGCGGACCUCAUAAAGUGCGUCGUAGUCCGGAUUGGAGUCUGCAACUCGACUCCAUGAAGUCGGAAUCGCUAGUAAUCGUGGAUCAGAAUGCCACGGUGAAUACGUUCCCGGGCCUUGUACACACCGCCCGUCACACCAUGGGAGUGGGUUGCAAAAGAAGUAGGUAGCUUAACCUUCGGGAGGGCGCUUACCACUUUGUGAUUCAUGACUGGGGUGAAGUCGUAACAAGGUAACCGUAGGGGAACCUGCGGUUGGAUCACCUCCUUACCUGAAAGAA
rnacentral:rRNA from 1 species